rnacentral:rRNA from 1 species
GAUGAACGCUGGCGGCGUGCUUAACACAUGCAAGUCGAACGAUGAAGCUGGAGCUUGCUCUGGUGGAUUAGUGGCGAACGGGUGAGUAACACGUGAGCAACCUGCCCCUGACUCUGGGAUAACAGCCGGAAACGGCUGCUAAUACCGGAUAUGCACCAUGAACGCAUGUUCUGUGGGGGGAAAGAUUGUUCGGUUGGGGAUGGGCUCGCGGCCUAUCAGCUUGUUGGUGAGGUAAUGGCACACCAAGGCGUCGACGGGUAGCCGGCCUGAGAGGGUGACCGGCCACACUGGGACUGAGACACGGCCCAGACUCCUACGGGAGGCAGCGGUGGGGAAUAUUGCACAAUGGGCGAAAGCCUGAUGCAGCAACGCCGCGUGAGGGAUGACGGCCUUCGGGUUGUAAACCUCUUUUAGCAGGGAAGGAGCGAGAGUGACGGUACCUGCAGAAAAAGCGCCGGCUAACUACGUG